GCGGCUCUGCCGAGGUGACAAUGUGCUAGGAGCCCCGCUCCGUGUCUCCUGCGCCUCCUCGGCCUGGGCGCCUCCUGUCAGCGCUCUCGGAGCCUCGCGGCCGCCUGCCGCGCUAUGAGGGAGCGUCUCCGGGGCUGGCCGAGGCCGGGGCCGCCUCGCUCUGCUCGCCGAGAAGUGUGAAGAGAGGCGCGGGCGGGAGCCCUGGCUGCGCGCGGCGGCGGCUCCAGGUGAGCGCGGAUCUCAGAGCAGCCGGCCACUGACCCGUCUGGAUCUAGGCAGCAUCCCAAGCGGGGACCGCGGAGCUCUCUCCGAGGGAUCAACAGCCACCAUAGCAGGUUACUAUUGUCCCCUUCUCUGCUGAAAGGACUGGGAACAAAACAUUUCAGAGCCAAGAACAUCAUUGCAGGCUGGCCUCACACUACUUACAAUGAUCCUCUUCCUUCAGCUUCUCAAGUGACAGAAAGACAGCAACAAAAAAAUCUUAAUGGAAACGGAAAUCUAGACAAACAAGGACGAACAAAACAAAAAGUCCAAGAAAACAACAACAGCAGCAGCAGCGACAACACCAAGUCCAUAAAAAAAGCGACAAAACAAGCAAAACUUCAUGGAGUUCAUCUUAUUUAGGCUCCCUGUUCCUGGCCAUGGGUUCUGGACAGUGUGGUAGAUAUACAGUGACAUUCCCUUGGCGAAAACGGGCUUUUCCC
rnacentral:lncRNA from 1 species